rnacentral:rRNA from 1 species
AUCCUCUUGCGGGGGGAUUCAGUCAGGAGGGGCGGAGGUGUUCGCUGGCUUGACACAGACGGACCCUUUCCAAGGCCGGGCCGGCGACACGGUCUCUGUCUCACCUGACGCAUUUCCUCCCGCACUACGGACGCCGCAGCCGGUUGGGUAGCUGCGCGAGUCGGCCAUAAGGGCAGGCACCGGCAGGUGGCCGGUGGCGUUGCUUCGGCUUCGCCGCCGGUUGUUAGCCAGCUUGUCCGUGGCGCGACACCCGACCGAGGUUGUUUCGUUCCCUCUUUGGGAACUAGCCGUCCCCUCCCCUCGAGUAGCGGGCGCUCCGGCAGGCGUAUCGCGGCUCUGUCACGUCACUCUCCGUAGUGGCCGACGGUCCGCGUUCGUUGUUGGUCGGAUGUCGAUCCGCGGGGGGUUCGUCCCGGGGCUAGCGGCGAGUAGGUCGGUCACCCACCCGACCCGUCUUGAAACACGGACCAAGGAGUCUAACAUGUGCGCGAGUCACGGGGUCUUGACUAGGCCCAGAGGCGCAAUGAAAGUGAAGGCCGUCCUCGACGUCGGCUGUGUUGGGACUCUCCGCUCCCUCGCGGGCGGGGAAGCACCAACGACCCGUCCUAUCCGAUUUAUCGGUUGGGCGGAGUCCGAGCGUACACGUUGGGACCCGAAAGAUGGUGAACUAUGCCUGGGCAGGACGAAGCCAGAGGAAACUCUGGUGGAGGUCCGUAGCGGUUCUGACGUGCAAAUCGAUCGUCAGACCCGGGUAUAGG